AAAAAUAUUGCACUCUCUAUUGUGAAAAAUAUAUGUAUGUAUACCUAAAUAAUUGUGUAAGUAGAAAAAAAAAAACCCGUAAAAACUGCAUUUAGAAACAGUUGAGUUCCCCCUCCGCUUCCUCACAAUGGUUUGACCCACCACCUGCUUUCCCAGUUCAUCUCACCUAAUGUGCACACACGAGUCAGCCAGGUUAUGGUCCCGAUUGGUACGACGUUGCUGUUGGGUACAGGCUGUCCUUCACUCCAGGUUGUGUGUGCUCUGGAUCACCUGCAUAUUUGAUGUUCGUUGAUUACGGAUAAAGCUUGCAUCUGCUUGUAAGCACAUCGUUGCUGUGGACUGCAGGGCGAAUGCGCCUUAGACCACGUUAAGACUGCACUGUUUGUUCUGCUGCUAUUUUUAUGACUGUUUGUAUUGGAUUACUUUUUGUUUUUGUUCGUCACGCUCAUGCUGGUGGUUUAGGUGAAGUGUGGUUAGUUCGAGCCGUCAUUUAAGCGAGAGGUGCCGUUAACGGUCCUGCUUAACUUCACCGGUUGUUAUAUUGCCACCAGCAGCGUGUUUGUUUUGUUUAAUGUUGAUUUGAGUUUUCUGUGUUGAAGACUCCUUUCAGCUUUAAGUUUUUUGUCCUUUUGUUAACUUGUUUUUUGUGUUUACGUUACUGUUGUCUUCACGUGUAUUGUUUGCUUUAUUUCUUCUCUUGGUUUUGUUCUUCUCUUUUAACCCCUUGCUGCUUCAUGGCAUGUCUAGGUUUGAGCUUUUUGGCACGAACCUAGUAUUUACAUCUUUCUGUCUGACCCUUGUGGCCAGUAAAUUGUCCAUUGUGUUCCCCUUUAUGGUGUGAACUUAUUCUAACACAAGGUGUUGGGUUGAAUGUGAGUUGAACUAAUAGUGUUUUUUUUUUGUUGUUGUU